GCUGGGUGAGGUGCUGCAAGCCUGUAAUCCCAGCAGCUUGGGAUGCUGAGACAGGAGGAUCCAGAGUUCAAAGCCAGCCUCAGCAAAAGCAAAGUGCUAAGCAACUCAGUGAGACCCUGUCUCUA
rnacentral:sRNA from 1 species